CUACGUAGGGGGCGAGCGUUGUCCGGAAUGAUUGGGCGUAAAGGGCGCGUAGGCGGCCCGGUAAGUCUGGAGUGAAAGUCCUGUUUUUAAGAUGGGAAUUGCUUUGGAUACUGUCGGGCUUGAGUGCAGGAGAGGUAAGUGGAAUUCCCAGUGUAGCGGUGAAAUGCGUAGAGAUUGGGAGGAACACCAGUGGCGAAGGCGACUUACUGGACUGUAACUGACGCUGAGGCGCGAAAGUGUGGGGAGCAAACAGGAUUAGAUACCCUGGUAGUCCACACUGUAAACGAUGAAUGCUAGGUGUAGGGGGUAUCGACCCCUUCUGUGCCGCAGUCAACACAAUAAGCAUUCCGCCUGGGGAGUACGGCCGCAAGGUUGAAACUCAAAUGAAUUGACGGGG
rnacentral:rRNA from 1 species